UAUUGGUGGAAGUGCGAGUCUUUGCGCAUGCGCGCCAGUGCCAUUGAGCGACUACUGGAAAACAAAAGGGAGUGGGGGGCGAGACCGACGGACAGGCAAAUGUCAAUAUUCAUCCAUAAAUGGCGCAAUUAGACUUUAAACGACUUCAAGCGUCGUUGCUAUUCUUCGAGGGCUGCCAAAAGAGAGGUGACGUCGUUGUUUUUUGUUGAGCGCAGUACAAACCUCAAAGAGAAUCCACAGGUCCUUCGCUUCCCCUCCACCAUACCGUCUUGUCACUGUUUGUUUUUGGGACAAUGUCGACCGAUUGAUCCUGUCAGUUCCCGUAGUCAACUUUAAGGCCGUGAUUGUCAGUCUCGAGGACGCAAGUGAGCUGCGCGCGCAGCAUCCCCGAGGAGAAGCGCUGUCCUCGGUCCUGGAGUCCUCCAGGGGACACUGAACUCCUGACCUCAUUAGGUGUGGAAGUUCUCCCCCUCAAAAAGUCAACCUUAAGCAGCAUCGACAGAAAACGCUAAAUAUGCCAAUUCCAGGCAGAGUUAGUCUACAAACUGCAAUCCUUUUGCUUUGUUUGGUUCAUCUGAGUCUGCCAGUAUGUGUGGACGUCCCGUCGGGGACGGAGGCAGUUCUGGGAAAGAUGAUGAAGUUGACGUGUAUCUCAUGUAUGAAGCGUGAGGAGGUGAAAGUCAAAACCCAUGUGGACUGGUACUACAUGACCAAGGUGGAACAAGGCGUCACACCAGAUAAAACUCUUAUAUACAAAUACGAGGGGAACUUUCCGAUGGAGAUGGAUGGACCAUUCAAAGGCCGCCUGGUGUGGGACGGCAGCCAGGACCUGCAAGAUCUCUCCAUCAGCAUCGUGAACGUCACCUACAACGACAGCGGCGUCUACGAGUGCCACGUGCUUCGCGAAUUUGACUUUGACACCUUCACUCCGUCAGCCUUCGUCUUGAAGAACAUCACGCUAAAAGUGAAAGAGGAAGCCAGCCCAGACACCACAGCCAUCUACUCAGAGAUCAUGAUGUACUUGCUGCUGGUCUUCUUGACCUUCUGGCUGUUGAUCGAGAUGGUUUAUUGCUACCGCAAGAUUUCCAAGUCUGACGACCUGGUGCAGGACACAGGGUAUUGAAGGACCAUGAAGGGACAAUAAAGAUCAACGCUCUCAGAGUCCUGCUAACCGAAUCCCUCCCCCGUGCUCCCCUCGCCCCGAUGCCGUUUUCCUGUGAAGAGCCACAAAUGUCAGUUUCUUACCUUUCUGUGCUAAACUCAAGUGCUCUCAGUAGUAACAUGAGUUCAAGAUCAAAUGUCAAAUGUCACAUACAAAGCGGCUGCACUGCAUGUGAACCUGAUCUCUUAUUCAUGCCAUGUUGUGCCUCUGUCAUGUGGACCCUUUUAUAAAUAGAUACAAUCGAGUCCACACGCGAUCCUACUGCUGUCGCAUCUUUUUGUUUUGUUUUUAUAGUUUUUUUUUUUUUUUUUGUAUUACGUACUAUCACGAGGGUCAUACGGUGAUCACCCCGCGAACUAAAUUUCCCGUAGCACUGAUUGGACAAGCAAUGUCAUGUGAUCAUCUGCAGCCAGUGAUGGUCAAGUGGGCGUGUCAUAACUAAUUGAUGAGUCGGUGUGUCUUUACCUCCAUGGCAGAGGCUCCGUCGAAGCCCUGAGACCGGUUCACUGAAGCCCGAGGGUUCGAUCGAACCCAGGUUCAGAACCAUUGGGCUAAUAUGUUUGUAAGAAGAAUGACAAUCCAGUUGUAUUGUAAUAACGUGCAUUGUUGCUAUUUCUCAGAAAUAUAUCACUAUUAUCUUUUCCCUGCUGCAUUUCUGUUGCUAUUCUCUGCGUGUAUUAAUCUUUAAUCCGUACGCAGCAAUGAGGUCUUGCUGGUGUUCUACAUUCGAGAAAGGUUUCAUCUUUACUUUGUGAUGCUUAUACAUCUUUUGCACUUGAAGUCACGCAACACGGCUCCUGUUCUGCCAAUGUUUGCUUAAAUGCCACUGAAUCACACAUCAACAGCUGUCCUCUGCAAUGUUCUAAAGACUGACCGACAUAUUAGCACCAUUAGCAAAACUAAGCUAGCAUUAUCAAUGUACAAAAGCCGAAGUUAGCCAUGGUUGCUAAGUUUGACGCGUGGCUAUUCCAUAAUAUAGUGUUACUGUCACACAAAAUGUUAUCUUUUGAUGUUUGGCUUUUUUUUGGAAUCUACGAUCAACUGACAAUUAAAAAGAGAUGAUAAACUUACCUGUCUAGCAGUUGCUAAUUUUGCAUCUGUUCUGAAUCCACUCAGCUGCCUGCCAGCAUCUAAUAUGUUCACCAUUGUUUAGGUCUGGAAAUUGUUCAAUUCUUUCUUUUCAUGCUUGAAUUGUCUACUUGUAUGGUUGGGCUAUUUUAUUUUUGAGAGGAGAAUAUUAAACAUAUUUAACAUAAUUCAAGCGUUUAUUUUGUCUGAAACUGCAAUCUCCUACUUUGACAAUAUGAACCGCUGGCGUUAGUCAAAUGUUACAAACAACAAAUAGUAGAAUUGCCCUCAAAUUUGAUGACAAGUGACAUCUGCUAGCACACACUCACAAGAGGAUUACUGCUUUUGCCUGGAAGGAAAAGCAAAACGCGAUUUGAAUUAGGAGGCGUGUUUUUCUCUUCAAGCAUUGUAUUUUCAGACAUUCCACUGCACAGUGUUUACGUCGAAAGGAGGUGUACUGUGUAAAAGCUGAAACACAAUGCUUCAUCGUCACUUUUGCCCUCUACUUUCUCCCGCUCUUAAUUUUGCUGCUGUGAAUUGGGAAUUCCUCCAUUGUGAGACAAAUAAAGAUUCUCUUAUCUUCA